UACGUAGGUGGCAAGUGUUGUCCGGAUUUACUGGGCGUAAAGAGCGCGCAGGCGGUCGAAUAAGUCGAAUGUGAAAGCCCCCGGCUCAACUGGGGAGGGUCAUUCGAUACUGCUCGACUUGAAGGCAGGAGAGGGUAGUGGAAUUCCCGGUGUAGUGGUGAAAUGCGUAGAUAUCGGGAGGAACACCAGUGGCGAAGGCGACUACCUGGCCUGUUCUUGACGCUGAGGCGCGAAAGCUGGGGGAGCAAACGGG
rnacentral:rRNA from 1 species